rnacentral:rRNA from 1 species
CCCCUACGGGGGGCAGCAGUGGGGAAUAUUGCACAAUGGGGGAAACCCUGAUGCAGCGACGCCGCGUGAGUGAAGAAGUAUUUCGGUAUGUAAAGCUCUAUCAGCAGGGAAGAAAAAAGACGGUACCUGACUAAGAAGCCCCGGCUAACUACGUGCCAGCAGCCGCGGUAAUACGUAGGGGGCAAGCGUUAUCCGGAUUUACUGGGUGUAAAGGGAGCGUAGACGGCAGCGCAAGUCUGGAGUGAAAGGCCGGGGCCUAACCCCGGGACUGCUCUGGAAACUAUUCAACUUGAGUGCAGGAGAGG